rnacentral:rRNA from 1 species
UCUAUGGCUAAUACAUGCGCAAAUGCCUCCAUCUCUGGAGGGGCUGUGUUUAUUAGAUACAAAACCAACCCACUUCUGUGGAGUCCUGGUGAUUCAUAGUAACCGAACGGAUCGCAUUUGGCUUCGGCCCGCGAUAGAUCUUUCAAGUUUCUGACCUAUCAGCUUUCGACGGUAGGGUAUUGGCCUACCGUGGCAGUGACGGGUAACGGGGAAUUAGGGUUCGAUUCCGGAGAGGGAGCCUGAGAAACGGCUACCACAUCUAAGGAAGGCAGCAGGCGCGCAAAUUACCCAAUGAAAACAGUUUCGAGGUAGUGACGAGAAAUAACAAUACAGGGCAUUUUAUGCUCUGUAAUUGGAAUGAUGGGAAUGUAAAACCCUUCCAGAGUAACAAUUGGAGGGCAAGUCUGGUGCCAGCAGCCGCGGUAAUUCCAGCUCCAAUAGUGUAUAUUAGAGUUGUUGCAGUUAAAAAGCUCGUAGUUGGAUUUCUGCUGUGGUCAUCCGGUACCGCCCGUAUGGGUGCGCACCUGGUUUGGCUCCGGCUUUCUUCCUGUAGCCGUCCGCGCUUAAUUGCGUGUACUGUGUUACGGAACUUUUACUUUGAGAAAAAUAGAGUGUUUCAAGCAGGCUUGUCGCCCUGAAUACUUCAGCAUGGAAUAAUAGGAUAGGACCUUGGUUCUAUUUUGUUGGUUUCUAGGACCAAGGUAAUGAUUAAUAGGGACAGUUGGGGGCAUUCGUAUUUAACUGUCAGGGGUGAAAUUCUUAGAUUUGUUAAAGACGAACUACUGCGAAAGCAUUUGCCAAGGAUGUUUUCAUUAAUCAAGAACGACAGUAGGGGGUUUGAAGACGAUUAGAUACCGUCGUAAUCUCUACCAUAAACUAUGCCGACUAGAGAUUGGGAAAUGCCUACCUUGGCUUCUCCUGCACCUCAUGAGAAAUCAAAGUCUCUGGGUUCUGGGGGGAGUAUGGUCGCAAGGCUGAAACUUAAAGGAAUUGACGGAAGGGCACCACCAGGCGUGGAGCCUGCGGCUUAAUUUGACUCAACACGGGGAAACUCACCAGGUCCAGACAUGGGAAGGAUUGACAGAUUGAUAGCUCCUUCUUGAUUCUAUGGGUGGUGGUGCAUGGCCGUUCUUAGUUGGUGGAGUGAUCUGUCUGGUUAAUUUCGAUAACGAACGAGACCUUAGCCUGCUAAAUAGGAUCGGGAACUACGGUUCUCGUAUCACUUCUUAGAGGGACUUUGCGUGUCUAACGCAGGGAAGUUUGAGGCAAUAACGGGUCUGUGAUGCCCUUAGAUGUUCUGGGCUGCACGCGCGCUACACUGAUGCAUGCAACGAGUUCUUGACCUUGGCCGGAAGGUCUAGGUAAUCUUUUGAGUGUGCAU